GAGCUCACUUUGGCAGCACGUACACUAAAACCGUACGGAGAAGAUUAAUGUGGCCCCUGUACAAGGAUAUGACAUGCAAAUUGGUGAGGCAUUCCAUAUUUUU